CCUANGGGGGGCUGCAGUCGAGAAUAUUCGACAAUGGGCGAAAGCCUGAUCGAGCGACGCCGCGUGUUUGAAGAAACCCUUCGGGGUGUAAAGAACUUUUCUCAGGGAGGAAGUUAUUGACAGUACCUGAGGAAUAAGGGGAUGCUAAUCACGUGCCAGCAGCCGCGGUAAUACGUGAUCCCCAAGCGUUAUCCGGAUUUAUUGGGCGUAAAGAGUUCGUAGGCGGAUGAGCAAGUCUUUGGUUAAAUAUUCAUGGCUUAACUAUGAGAAUGCCAAAGAUACUGCUCAACUAGAGGGCGUUAGAGGCUGAUAGAACGGUCGGUGUAGGGGUGAAAUCCGUUGAUAUCGACCGGAAUACCAAAAGCGAAGGCAUUCAGCUAGGACGACCCUGACGCUGAGGAACGAAAGCGUGGGCAUGGAAAAGGAUUAGAUACCCCUNUANUC
rnacentral:rRNA from 1 species